rnacentral:tRNA from 1 species
CCCCCUGGUGACGGAAUCACACCGGGCCCUCCGAAGGCUCGGUUCCUGGUUCGACUCCGGGCAGGGGGA